rnacentral:rRNA from 1 species
GGUGAACGCUGGCGGUGCGCCUAAUGCAUGCAAGUCGAGCGACGCACUCCGGAGGGGUAACCCACUGGAAUGACGGAGCGGCGAACGGGUGAGUAUCACGUGAGCAACCUGCCCCGCAGACCGGGAUAGCCCAGGGAAACCUGGAUUAAUACCGGAUACCCUCGGGGGACCGCAUGGUCCAUCGAGGAAAGGCCUUUGUGCUGUGGGAUGGGCUCGCGACUUAUCAGCUAGUUGGUGGGUAACGGCCUACCAAGGCAUUGACGAGUAGCUGGUCUGAGAGGACGAUCAGCCACACUGGAACUGAGACACGGUCCAGACUCCUACGGGAGGCAGCAGCAGGGAAUCUUGCGCAAUGGGCGAAAGCCUGACGCAGCGACACCGCGUGGGGGAUGAAGGCCUUCGGGUUGUAAAGCUCUUUCACCUGCGAAGAUGAUGACGGUAGCAGGAGAAGAAGCCCCGGCUAACUCCGUG